rnacentral:lncRNA from 1 species
AGCAGGGUUGGCUUUUCCCAGAGUCUGCAAGAUUUUCAGUGUGUCCCCGAGAGGGGUUGGAGUUUUUUUCUUCCCUUUUUAAGCUCCAUCUCAGUCUUUGGAGAGGCUUCAGAGGAAGAAGCAAUCUGAAAUACGUUACGCGUGCAUGGCUUGAUGAAUUUCAGAUGCUCGCCUUUCAUUUUGUCUCUCACUGACAAGUUGGGGUCCUGAACCGGGAGUGUAUAACGUGACUGUCAUCAAGGCUGAGAUAGCACAGAGGCUAGCAGGUAAUCAGGUUUCCCAGUAGUGGGGAGAAGCAAGGCAAAUCCCUCAGUCUGCCCUGGAGCCCAACCCACCUCUGCCCUACUGAAGAGUGGUGGGAAGCCAAGGAAGAUGAUGCCAUCUCCCACCUGUGAGCCUCUCCCUUCUGCUGUGCAAGGUAACAGUCCCAGCCUGAUGAUCUCCCGUGAUAAGUGGCUUUUAUUCCUCUUUUCAUUUCCGCUGUCCAUUUAAGUCCUUGUGGUGCAGCCAUGACUACUUCUUCGCUUGAUACUAAAUAUGACAAGAGCCAUCCUAUGACCCCAGGAACGUCUUGAUAAUAGAGGACGUCCUUUCUCUAUUAAGAAACUUAAAGAAGAUGGAGAGAAGCCCUUUAUUCUCUUUCCUGUCAGCUUCUUAGUUUUGACAAUGUGAUCCAGAACAAAGUGGGAUUUGACCACAUGCAGGUGUGAGGCAACAUUAAUCUUGGCUGAUGG